UACGUAGGGUGCAAGCGUUGUCCGGAUUUAUUGGGCGUAAAGAGCGUGUAGGCGGUCUGGUAGGUCCGUUGUGAAAACUCGAGGCUCAACCUCGAGACGCCGAUGGAAACCAUCAGACUAGAGUCCGGAAGAGGAGAGUGGAAUUCCUGGUGUAGCGGUGAAAUGCGCAGAUAUCAGGAAGAACACCCGUGGCUAAGGCGGCUCUCUAGUACGGUACUGACGCUGAGACGCGAAAGCGUGGGGAGCGAACAGG
rnacentral:rRNA from 1 species